CCUACGGGGGGCAGCAGUGGGGAAUAUUGGUCAAUGGCCGGAAGGCUGAACCAGCCAUGCCGCGUGAAGGUCAGUGCCCUAUGGGCGUUAAACUUCUUUUGUGCGGGAGCAAUAAUGGUCACGUGUGGCCAGACUAGAGUACCGUACGAAUAAGCAUCGGCUAACUCCGUUCCAGCAGCCGCGGUAAUACGGGGGAUGCCAGCGUUAUCCGGAUUUAUUGGGGUUAAAGGGUGCGUAGGCUGGGAGGUAAGUCAGCGGUGAAAUGCCCCCGCUCAACGGGGGGAAGUGCCGUUGAUACUGCCGUGCUGGAAUGCGGAUGCCGUGGGAGGAAUGUGUGGUGUAGCGGUGAAAUGCAUAGAUAUCACACAGAACACCGAUUGCGAAGGCAUCUCACGAAGCCGCGAUUGACGCUGAUGCACGAAAGCGUGGGUAUCAAACAGGAUUAGAUACCCGAGUAGUC
rnacentral:rRNA from 1 species